GAUGAACGCUGGCGGCGUGCCUAAUACAUGCCAGUCGAGCGAACGGACGAGAAGCUUGCUUCUCUGAUGUUAGCGGCGGACGGGUGAGUAACACGUGGAUAACCUACCUAUAAGACUGGGAUAACUUCGGGAAACCGGAGCUAAUACCGGCUAAUAUUUUGAACCGCAUGGUUCAAAAGUGAAAGACGGUCUUGCUGUCACUUAUAGAUGGAUCCGCGCUGCAUUAGCUAGUUGGUAAGGUAACGGCUUACCAAGGCAACGAUGCAUAGCCGACCUGAGAGGGUGAUCGGCCACACUGGAACUGAGACACGGUCCAGACUCCUACGGGAGGCAGCAGUAGGGAAUCUUCCGCAAUGGGCGAAAGCCUGACGGAGCAACGCCGCGUGAGUGAUGAAGGUCUUCGGAUCGUAAAACUCUGUUAUUAGGGAAGAACAUAUGUGUAAGUAACUGUGCACAUCUUGACGGUACCUAAUCAGAAAGCCACGGCUAACUACGUG
rnacentral:rRNA from 1 species